rnacentral:lncRNA from 7 species
ACGAUAGGUUGCUUCAGGAAAAGGUACUUAUGCUUUUGGAAACUUCUCAAGCAAAUCAAUCAGUUCACUCCAGUUUAUUGCAGAUGUUAUCUUUGCCUUAAUCAGGAAGCAGAAAGGUUACAAGAAGUUGAGAAGGAAAAUGCAGUUCCCCUCCCUGAUGUGCAGCAAUCUGGUAGUCUCUACUAAUAACCAGGAGCAUGAGUUCAUCAAGAUGUUGUUUUCUGGAUUUAAAUCAAGAACAUCAUUGAAAUCUGCUUUUGCUGUCAGACAUGAGCUAUCCCUUAGGAGGCAAGGAGCUGAAGCAGUAGCUGGCAUAGGUCAAGAUGGUGCUGCUGAAUCAGUUGCUGCUGAGGGAAAAUGACAUGGUUCCCACUGUGUGUGCUAUCUAUGUCUUGGGAUACUUCUGUGAAGGAGAAAAGUUGUGAAUCUCCUGGUACUUCUGAUCAUUUCACAAGUGCAUGUCCUUUAAGGUGAAGAGGGACCAUUAGUCUCUGACCAUGCUUCAAGUGGGUCACAGAGUCUCAUGAAGUUACUGGUGCAACAAGGCAUAUAACUCGCAAGUUAGGAAUAAGACAAAACAAGUCAGCUAGAAUGAAAGCCCUGGGGUGUUACUGCUGCUGCAUCCAUGGAGGGCAGAGGAAUGUGCUCAGAGACUGCCCAGCCAGCACUGGCCAUGCGCUUGCUUCUCUUCUGGCCCAGGCAAAGGUCCUGGCCAUCCUCUUUAAAGUAUCCCUAAGUAUGAGAGGAGCAGUGCUGCCAGGAAUAUUUGCUUGUGAAGCGGUUAUAAAGUGGAAAAUGUUAUCUUAAUGAGCUCUUUCAGUCACCAAAUGCUAGUAAAGCGGAAUCUUUCAGUCACCAAAUGCUAGUAAAGCAGAAUCUUUCAAUUUUGUUCUUUUUUUUCCCCCUUGGUUCUACAUGGUUUACAAGCUUAGGAUAACUGAAGAAUACAACUUGCCUUUAGAGAAACCUCUUUCCACCGUUGACAAUUCAAAAUGUUAGACUUAUUCAAAACGACAUUUGCAUGUCUAAGUGGAUAGAUCACUUUCAGUGUGAGAGUUACAAAGUCUGCUCUCAUCUGUCACUGAGUUUAUGGAAGUGCAUCUUCUCAGAACAAGCUUCUCUUUUUCUUUCUUUAAGUUCUUACACACAAACUUCACUAACUCCCGUUACAAAAUUAAAACUGUGCUGACACGCAGUUUUUUGUAGUCUUUUGAGUGGUUUAUUGUGUAAUGGCUGAUUUGUUCCAGAUUCCACUUCAAGACUACGUUAACAACAGGGUCAUCCAGAAUGUUCUCCCUUUCUGCUAUUUCAAGAAUUGCAAGUAUUCUUUGUGUUCUAUCAUGCAAAUGUAAAUACGAUCCCCUGGCCUUUGUGAAGCUGAACUGUAAAUGAAACAAUUGGCAAUUUCCUGCAUCUUAGGGUAAGAUUUCUUGUCUUCUUCAGUCCAUAAGAUUCCUGUCUCUCCUUCACCUGGUCUACUUCUCCACCUUUUUCUACAUUUGCUAUGUAAGGGCUGCUUCUGUUUGCCUGUUGUUCUUGAUCUAAUGGAGCCGGCCUCAAGACUGAGUUAACCUGAUUGCGUGGCUGCUGUGCUUACCAGGCCUCCUGCCUGCAGGAACACAAUGCUGCAGGACUUCCUGCAUGUCUGGAGCUGAGCCAGCACAAUUGCACCACAGUCAGUCCCAGGACUUUUUGCUGUGUCUGCAACUGUUGCC